rnacentral:rRNA from 1 species
AGAGUUUGAUCCUGGCUCAGAACGAACGCUGGCGGCGUGGAUUAGGCAUGCAAGUCGAGCGACACAGGCGGGCUUCGGUUUGCCUGAUGGAGCGGCGAAAGGGUGAGUAAUGAAUAGACAACCUGCCCACGGGACCGGGAUAACAGCGGGAAACUGCUACUAAUACCGGAUGGCCUGUGGAGGCCUCCUGGUUUCUACAGUAAAGAAUUGCCUCUGUUUCAAGCUUUUGCCCGUGGAGGGGUCUAUUUCUUAUCAGCUUGUUGGUGAGGUAACGGCUCACCAAGGCUAUGACGGGUACCCGGCCUUAGCGGGUGGUCGGGCACACUGGGACUGAGACACUGCCCAGACUCCUACGGGAGGCUGCAGUCGAGGAUCUUGCACAAUGCGCGAAAGCGUGAUGCAGCGACGCCGCGUGUAGGAUGAAGGCCUUCGGGUUGUAAACUACUGUUGGGGGAUAUGAAACGCGUAGGGUUAAUAGCCCGUACGCUUGACGU